rnacentral:rRNA from 1 species
GACGAACGCUGGCGGCGUGCCUAAUACAUGCAAGUUGAGCGCUGAAGGUUGGUACUUAUACCAACUGGAUGAGCAGCGAACGGGUGAGUAACGCGUGGGGAAUCUGCCUUUGAGCGGGGGACAACAUUUGGAAACGAAUGCUAAUACCGCAUAAAAACUUUAAACACAAGUUUUAAGUUUGAAAGAUGCAAUUGCAUCACUCAAAGAUGAUCCCGCGUUGUAUUAGCUAGUUGGUGAGGUAAAGGCUCACCAAGGCGAUGAUACAUAGCCGACCUGAGAGGGUGAUCGGCCACAUUGGGACUGAGACACGGCCCAAACUCCUACGGGAGGCAGCAGUAGGGAAUCUUCGGCAAUGGACGAAAGUCUGACCGAGCAACGCCGCGUGAGGGAAGAAGGUUUUCGGAUCGUAAAACUCUGUUGGUAGAGAAGAACGUUGGUGAGAGUGGAAAGCUCAUCAAGUGACGGUAACUACCCAGAAAGGGACGGCUAACUACGUG